CCGAGUUUACAACUCCCAAACCCCUGUGAACAUACCACUAUGUUGCCUCGGCGGAUCAGCCCGCGCCCCGGUAAAACGGGACGGCCCGCCAGAGGACCCCUAAACUCUGUUUCUAUAUGUAACUUCUGAGUAAAACCAUAAAUAAAUCA
rnacentral:misc_RNA from 1 species